AUGGUGGAGAUCAGCGAGGAGAAGCUGGUGAGGUUCGCAGGCAGAGAUGCGUGCCUGCUUGCUCGGCUGCGAGAGAUCGGAUCGUUGUACACAAGCAAGCGGGAGAUGUAUGCGGAGGCGGAGGCGAUUUUUGAGGGGCUGACGGCAACGGAGGAGGAGUCCCUCUUCAGGCGCGGGAGGCGCAAGCAUCCACUCCAGGUGCUGAUGUGGGCGAUGGAUCAGGCGGAUUCGCCGGUGAGGGCGGUGGCGCGGAAGUGGGUGGCCUUCACCGCCUUCAAGACGGCACGCCUCGCCCCGGCCAUGCGGGCAACGGCGCUCAGAUCUCGCGAGGGGGUGCUGGCGCUCCCUGCUCCAGGCUCGGUCAUGGCGCCGAUUGUGAUCCAGGAAGACCCCGUGGAGCAGCCGCCGCAGGAGGUGGUGCAGACGUCGCGCCGCUCCGCUCGUCUGGCUCCAGCUUCAUCUACUCCGACUCCUCGCCAUUCGGCAUGCCUCGCCGGAAUUAAUGCCGGAAUCGAUGCCUGA
rnacentral:rRNA from 1 species